CGCAAUUUAGUUGUUUGUGCAAGAAACAUCAUGACUCAUGAGUAAUGUAAGUGAUAAGAUAAUGCUGAAACGCGCCCUUUUGGCAGUCAAGCAAGGUAACCUUAAAGUGCAUAUGCGUGGGGUCCGUGCCGUGUUAUUAUAUAAAAGAGCUGUAUGUUGUAAAUGUAUUCAGAUCACCAGAUCAGUAGAGAAUAGAAUUGGGAUUAGAUUAAUAGCUGGAACUGAGUUAGCAUUGCCCAAUUUAAGUACUACUACUAAAUUCUAACCAAAUUGCAAAUUUCAACACGUUAUAAUGCCGUUUCCUGACCAUCAGAUUUCUGUCAAUCCUUCCCCCCAAAGUCCAGGAAAUGGCAUUUCAGAGACCCUAAAUUCAAAAAUUUUCCGAGGGGGCAUGCCCCCGGACCCCCCUAGACAAACCUCGCACCUGCGGCGCUCGGCUCGUGCCUUCGACACUCGUUUAUCAAGCG